GACGAACGCUGGCGGCGUGCCUAAUACAUGCAAGUAGCACGCAGUGGCGAACGGGUGAGUAACGCGUAGGUAACUGCCUCAUAGCGGGGGAUAACUAUUGGAAAAGAUAGCUAAUACCGCAUACUGUGAGAUGGACCUGCGUUGUAUUAGUUAGUUGGUGAGGUAAAGGCUCACCAAGGCGACGAGACAUAGCCGACCUGAGAGGGUGAUCGGCCACACUGUGACUGGGACACGGCCCAGCAUCCUUCGGGAUGCAGCAGUUGGGAAUCUUCGGCGAUGGACGGAAGUCUGACCGCACAACGCCGCGUGAGUGAAGAAGGGUUUCGGAUCGUAAAGCUCUGUUGGGAGAGAAGCGGUACCUAACCAGAAAGGGACGGCUAACUACGUGCCAGCAGCCGCGGUAAUAC
rnacentral:rRNA from 1 species